rnacentral:rRNA from 1 species
GAUGAACGCUGGCGGCGUGCUUAACACAUGCAAGUCGAACGAGAAGUGAAGACGGAAACCUUCGGGCGGAAGGCUUUAUUUCGAGUGGCGGACGGGUGAGUAACGCGUGGGUAUCCUGCCUCAUACAGGGGGAUAACAGUUGGAAACGACUGUUAAUACCGCAUAAGACCACAGCACCGCAUGGUGCGGGGGUAAAAACUCCGGUGGUAUGAGAUGGACCCGCGUUCGAUUAGCCAGUUGGCGGGGUAACGGCCCACCAAAGCGACGAUCGAUAGCCGAUCUGAGAGCAUGACCGGCCACAUUGGGACUGAGACACGGCCCAAACUCCUACGGGAGGCAGCAGUGGGGAAUAUUGCACAAUGGGGGAAACCCUGAUGCAGCGACGCCGCGUGAGUGAAGAAGUAUUUCGGUAUGUAAAGCUCUAUCAGCAGGGAAGAAAAUGACGGUACCUGAGUAAGAAGCCCCGGCUAACUACGUG